rnacentral:rRNA from 1 species
GAUGAACGCUGGCGGCGUGCCUAAUACAUGCAAGUCGAGCGAACGGACGAGAAGCUUGCUUCUCUGAUGUUAGCGGCGGACGGGUGAGUAACACGUGGAUAACCUACCUAUAUGACUGGGAUAACUUCGGGAAACCGUAGCUAAUACCGGAUAAUAUUUUGAACCGCAUGGUUCAAAAGUGAAAGACGGUCUUGCUGUCACUUAUAGAUGGAUCCGCGCUGCAUUAGCUAGUUGGUAAGGUAACGGCCUACCAAGGCAACGAUGCAUAGCCGACCUGAGAGGGUGAUCGGCCACACUGGAACUGAGACACGGUCCAGACUCCUACGGGAGGCAGCAGUAGGGAAUCUUCCGCAAUGGGCGAAAGCCUGACGGAGCAACGCCGCGUGAGUGAUGAAGGUCUUCGGAUCGUAAAACUCUGUUAUUAGGGAAGAACAUAUGUGUAAUUAACUGUGCACAUCUUGACGGUACCUAAUCAGAAAGCCACGGCUAACUACGUG